rnacentral:rRNA from 1 species
CCUCACUUGUGAGGAACUGACGGUACCGUUAGAAUAAGCACCGGCUAACUCCGUGCCAGCAGCCGCGGUAAUACGGAGGGUGCAAGCGUUAUCCGGAAUCAUUGGGUUUAAAGGGUGCGUAGGCGGUUGURUAAGUCAGUGGUGAAAGGCCGYAGCUUAACUGUGGRAUUGCCAUUGAUACUGUAUGACUUGAAUGAGGUUGAGGUWGGCGGAAUGUGUCAUGUAGCGGUGAAAUGCUUAGAUAUGACCAUGGAACAYCGAUUGCGAAGGCAGCUKACUGGACCUGAAUUGACGCUGAGGCACGAAAGCGUGGGGAUCGAACAGGAUUAGAUACCCUGGUAGUCCACGCCSUAAACGAUGAUCACUCGUUGUUUG